rnacentral:rRNA from 1 species
UACGGAGGGGGCUAGCGUUGUUCGGAAUUACUGGGCGUAAAGCGCACGUAGGCGGCUUUGUAAGUUAGAGGUGAAAGCCCGGGGCUCAACCCCGGAAUUGCCUUUAAGACUGCAUCGCUUGAACGUCGGAGAGGUGAGUGGAAUUCCGAGUGUAGAGGUGAAAUUCGUAGAUAUUCGCAAGAACACCAGUGGCGAAGGCGGCUCACUGGCCCGGAACUGACGCUGAGGUGCGAAAGCGUGGGGAGCGAACAGG